AAAAUUCGUUGGCUUUUUAGACCGUGAGGGUUCAAGUCCCUCUACCCCCA
rnacentral:tRNA from 1 species